UGGAGCCGACCUUGAAAUACCACCCUUUAAUGUUUGAUGUUCUAACGUUGACCCGUAAUCCGGGUUGCGGACAGUGUCUGGUGGGUAGUUUGACUGGGGCGGUCUCCUCCUAAAGAGUAACGGAGGAGCACGAAGGUUGGCUAAUCCUGGUCGGACAUCAGGAGGUUAGUGCAAUGGCAUAAGCCAGCUUGACUGCGAGCGUGACGGCGCGAGCAGGUGCGAAAGCAGGUCAUAGUGAUCCGGUGGUUCUGAAUGGAAGGGCCAUCGCUCAACGGAUAAAAGGUACUCCGGGGAUAACAGGCUGAUACCGCCCAAGAGUUCAUAUCGACGGCGGUGUUUGGCACCUCGAUGUCGGCUCAUCACAUCCUGGGGCUGAAGUAGGUCCCAAGGGUAUGGCUGUUCGCCAUUUAAAGUGGUACGCGAGCUGGGUUUAGAACGUCGUGAGACAGUUCGGUCCCUAUCUGCCGUGGGCGCUGGAGAACUGAGGGGGGCUGCUCCUAGUACGAGAGGACCGGAGUGGACGCAUCACUGGUGUUCGGGUUGUCAUGCCAAUGGCACUGCCCGGUAGCUAAAUGCGGAAGAGAUAAGUGCUGAAAGCAUCUAAGCACGAAACUUGCCCCGAGAUGAGUUCUCCCUGACUCCUUGAGAGUCCUGAAGGAACGUUGAAGACGACGACGUUGAUAGGCCGGGUGUGUAAGCGCAGCGAUGCGUUGAGCUAACCGGUACUAAUGAACCGUGAGG
rnacentral:rRNA from 1 species